rnacentral:rRNA from 1 species
GACGAACGCUGGCGGCGUGCUUAACACAUGCCAGUCGAACGGAAAGGCCCUGCUUUUGUGGGGUGCUCGAGUGGCGAACGGGUGAGUAACAAGCGAGUAACCUGCCCUCGACUUUGGGAUAACUUCAGGAAACUGAGGCUAAUAACGGAUAGGUGAUCCUGCUGCAUGGUGGGGGUUGGAAAGAUUGGGCGGUUGGGGAUGGACUCGCGGCUUAUCAGCUUGUUGGUGGGGUAGUGGCAUACCAAGGCUUUGACGGGUAGCCGGCCCGGGGAGGUGACCGGCGACAUGGGUACUAAGGGAGGGCGCAGACUCGUAUGGGAGGCAGCAGGCGGGAGUAUUGCGCAGCGGGGGGAAGUCAGUGGCAGAGGCGCCCGGUGCGUGAUGACGGGUUUCUGGGUGUGAACCGUUGUGGCCUGUGACGAAGCGUUAGUGACGGUAAUUGGUAAGGAAGCACCGGCUAACUACGUG